rnacentral:ribozyme from 1 species
GAAGAAGAUAAAGAAGAAGAAUAAGAAAAAGGGAAGAAAUUCGUCGAAUGCAUCCAAAUCUCACAACACUCUCUCUCCUCCUUCUCUUUCAUCUCCUGUUUCUCCUUCUUCUU